UCUCCGUACGGGGAAGGAUGAGAAGCUUCGACUAAGGUUCGAUUCGAGCGCAGCGAGAAAGCGUUGCCGCAGGCAACGACCCGAAGGGUGAGGAGCGGAGCGACGAAUAAUCCUUCCCCCACCACCA
rnacentral:sRNA from 1 species